AACGAACGCUGGCGGCAGGCUUAACACAUGCAAGUCGAACGCAUGCCUUCGGGCAUGAGUGGCAGACGGGUGAGUAACGCGUGGGAACCUACCCCUUGGUACGGGAUAGCUCCGGGAAACUGGAGAUAAUCCCGUAUGUGUCCUGAGGGACAAAGAUUCAUCGCCAAGGGAUGGGCCCGCGUCGGAUUAGCUAGUUGGUGGGGUAACGGCCUACCAAGGCGACGAUCCGUAGCUGGUCUAAGAGGAUGAUCAGCCACAUUGGGACUGAGACACGGCCCAAACUCCUACGGGAGGCAGCAGUGGGGAAUAUUGGACAAUGGGCGCAAGCCUGAUCCAGCCAUGCCGCGUGAGUGAUGAAGGCCCUAGGGUUGUAAAGCUCUUUCACCGGUGACGAUAAUGACGGUAACCGGAGAAGAAGCCCCGGCUAACUUCGUG
rnacentral:rRNA from 1 species